rnacentral:rRNA from 1 species
UACGUAGGUGGCAAGCGUUGUCCGGAUUUACUGGGCGUAAAGAGCGCGCAGGCGGUCGUUCAAGUCGCGUGUGAAAGCCCCCGGCUCAACUGGGGAGGGUCACGCGAUACUGAUCGACUCGAAGGCAGGAGAGGGAAGUGGAAUUCCCGGUGUAGUGGUGAAAUGCGUAGAUAUCAAGAGGAACACCUGAGGUGAAGACGGGUUGCUGGGCCGACACUGACGCUGAGUGCGCGAAAGCCAGGGGAGCAAACGGG